rnacentral:rRNA from 1 species
GACGAACGCUGGCGGCGUACUUAACACAUGCAAGUCGAACGAUGAAGGAGAGCUUGCUCUCCGGAUUAGUGGCGAACGGGUGAGUAACACGUGACUAACCUGCCCCUUUCUCUGGGAUAACGCUCCGAAAGGAGUGCUAAUACCGGAUACGAACUCUGAACACAUGUUCGGAGUUGGAAAGUUUUUCGGAAAGGGAUGGAGUCGCGGCCUAUCAGCUUGUUGAUGAGGUAACGGCUCACCAAGGCGACGACGGGUAGCCGGCCUGAGAGGGCGACCGGCCACACUGGGACUGAGACACGGCCCAGACUCCUACGGGAGGCAGCAGUGGGGAAUAUUGCACAAUGGGCGAAAGCCUGAUGCAGCGACGCCGCGUGAGGGAUGAAGGUCUUCGGAUUGUAAACCUCUUUCAGUAGGGACGAAGCGAAAGUGACGGUACCUAAAGAAGAAGCACCGGCUAACCACGUGCCAGCCGCCGCCGUAA